rnacentral:miRNA from 1 species
GCAGGUGAUGAGGCUUUGCUG